GGCAAUGGGAGGAGGAGGAGGGGAUGAUGAUUCGGCUGGGCGCUGCAUGCACAUUUAUUUCCGUGCGCGCGAAUUGGGUCACAAGUUUCACCACGCACGCGCUGGGGGCGACCUUGCUUCCCUCCCCUUCCCUCCGUCGUUUUAAUUUCAAAGGCAUUAACCAGGGCGGGCUGUCGGAUUCGAGCCACGGACGCUCUGCCAAACAAGCGACGAACAUACUGCCGCUGGGCCACGUCGCCACCCCAGCGUGAUCUCCUACAAUGUGCCAGCGAAGCCGCUCCGUCGGAGCCGUGCCUGCAACUGUGAUGC